rnacentral:rRNA from 1 species
CGGGGUGAGUAAUGUCUGGGAAACUGCCUGAUGGAGGGGGAUAACUACUGGAAACGGUAGCUAAUACCGCAUAACGUCGCAAGACCAAGAGGGGACCUUCGGGCCUCUUGCCAUCGGAUGUGCCCAGAUGGGAUUAGCUAGUAGGUGGGGUAACGGCUCACCUAGGCGACGAUCCCUAGCUGGUCUGAGAGGAUGACCAGCCACACUGGAACUGAGACACAGUCCAG